GAGGAUGUAUAGCAAUAGCUAGUUGCAUCAUAGUAGAUAUGAUGCAAGAUCGACUAUGUUGAAUAAAAUUCUAGGUAGAAUUAUGAUAAUGACAUUGUCUGCCUAUGUGUCUUGACCAAAUUACGUGCCAGCAGUCGCGGUAAUACGUAGAAGACUAGUGUUAUUCAUGUUUAAUCGGUUUAAAGGGUACCUAGACGGUAGAUCAAGCUUUCUAAUAAAGGAAAAGGACUAGUUUACUAGAGUUACUUAUGAGGGGGUAUUAAAGUACUGCUGGUGUAGAGAUGAAAUUCUGUCAUACCUCUUUUCAAAAGAAAAACCAUGGCACAGGUAUAGGCGAAGGCAUCCCCUUAUGUGAUAACUGACGUUGAGGGACGAAGGCUUUGUGUAGCGAACAGGAUUAGAUACCCCAGUAGUCGAAGCAGAAAAUGAUGAAUGUCAUAGAUUAGAUAUAUAAGUUUAUUCUAUAAAUGAAAGUGUAAGCAUUCCMCCUCAUGAGUAAUUUGGCAACAUUGGAACUGAAAUCAUUAGACCGUUUCUGAAACCCGUAGUGAAGUAUGUUGUUUAAUUUGAUGUCCCGCAAAAAACCUUACCACAAUUUGAAUAUUUAUAUUGUUUAUUGUUUUAUUAUUAAUUUUCUUGAAGAAAAUUAAGAAAAAAGCAAUAAGAUAUAAUUACAAGCGUUGCACGGCUGUCUUCAGUUAAUGUCGCGAGACUUUGGUUAGUUCCAUUAAAUUAACGUAAACCCUUACUUUAUUUUUAUAUAGAGUAGUUCCCCGCUAUAUUGGAUAU
rnacentral:rRNA from 1 species